UCUCAUUAAGAAACAAAACAA
rnacentral:piRNA from 1 species